rnacentral:rRNA from 1 species
GACGAACGCUGGCGGCGUGCCUAAUACAUGCAAGUAGAACGCACAGUUUAUACCGUAGCUUGCUACACCAUAGACUGUGAGUUGCGAACGGGUGAGUAACGCGUAGGUAACCUGCCUGGUAGCGGGGGAUAACUAUUGGAAACGAUAGCUAAUACCGCAUAAUAUUGAUUAUUGCAUGAUAAUUAAUUGAAAGGUGCAAUUGCACCACUACCAGAUGGACCUGCGUUGUAUUAGCUAGUAGGUGAGGUAACGGCUCACCUAGGCGACGAUACAUAGCCGACCUGAGAGGGUGAUCGGCCACACUGGGACUGAGACACGGCCCAGACUCCUACGGGAGGCAGCAGUAGGGAAUCUUCGGCAAUAGACGAAAGUCUGACCGAGCAACGCCGCGUGAGUGAAGAAGGGUUUCGGAUCGUAAAGCUCUGUUGUAAGAGAAGAACGGGUGUGAGAGUGGAAAGUUCACACUGUGACGGUAUCUUACCAGAAAGGGACGGCUAACUACGUG